rnacentral:rRNA from 1 species
GUGAACCUGCGGAAGGAUCAUUGCCGAGUUCUCGGGCUUCGGCCCGAAUCUCCCACCCUUUGUGAACAUACCUCUGUUGCUUUGGCGGCUCUUGCCCGUGGAGGCCCUCAAAAGCCCCCCCGCCGCUUCCGCCAGAGGACCUUCAAACUCCAGUCAGUAAACGUCGACGUCUGAAAAACAAGUUAAUAAACUAAAACUUUCAACAACGGAUCUCUUGGUUCUGGCAUCGAUGAAGAACGCAGCGAAAUGCGAUAAGUAAUGUGAAUUACAGAAUUCAGUGAAUCAUCGAAUCUUUGAACGCACAUUGGCCCCUUGGCAUUCCGAGGGGCAUGCCGUUCGAGCGUCAUUACAACCCUCAAGCUCUGCUCGGUAUUGGGCGCCGUCCUCUCUGCGGACGCGCCUCAAAGACCUCGGCGGUGGCUGUUCAGCCCUCAAGCGUAGUAGAAUACACCUCGCUUUGGAGUGGUUGGCGUCGCCCGCCGGACGAACCUUCUGAACUUUUCUCAAGGGACCUCGGAUCAGGUAGGGAUACCCGCUGAACUUAAGUAUAUCAAUAAGCGGAGGA